AGCGAACGCUGGCGGCAGGCCUAACACAUGCAAGUCGAGCGCCCGUAGCAAUACGGGAGCGGCAGACGGGAUAGUAACACGUGGGAACGUACCCUUCAGUUCGGAACAACCCAGGGAAACUUGGGCUAAUACCGAAUACGUCCGUAAGGAGAAAGAUUUAUCGCUGAAGGAUCGGCCCGCGUCUGAUUAGCUAGUUGGUGAGGUAAUGGCUCACCAAGGCGACGAUCAGUAGCNGGUCUGAGAGGAUGAUCAGCAUCACUGGGACUGAGACACGGCCCAGACUCCUACGGGAGGCAGCAGUGGGGAAUAUUGGACAAUGGGCGCAAGCCUGAUCCAGCCAUGCCGCGUGGAUGAUGAAGGCCCUAGGGUUGUAAAGUCCUUUCGGGCGGGGAAGAUAAUGACGGUACCCGCAGAAGAAGCCCCGGCUAACUUCGU
rnacentral:rRNA from 1 species